rnacentral:rRNA from 2 species
CUAGCAUAUCAAUAAGCGGAGGAAAAGAAACCAACAGGGAUUGCCCUAGUAACGGCGAGUGAAGCGGCAACAGCUCAAAUUUGAAAUCUGGCUCUUUCAGAGUCCGAGUUGUAAUUUGCAGAGGGCGCUUUGGCUUUGGCAGCGGUCCAAGUUCCUUGGAACAGGACGUCACAGAGGGUGAGAAUCCCGUACGUGGUCGCUAGCUAUUGCCGUGUAAAGCCCCUUCGACGAGUCGAGUUGUUUGGGAAUGCAGCUCUAAAUGGGAGGUAAAUUUCUUCUAAAGCUAAAUAUUGGCCAGAGACCGAUAGCGCACAAGUAGAGUGAUCGAAAGAUGAAAAGCACUUUGGAAAGAGAGUCAAACAGCACGUGAAAUUGUUGAAAGGGAAGCGCUUGCAGCCAGACUUGCUUGCAGUUGCUCAUCCGGGCUUUUGCCCGGUGCACUCUUCUGUAGGCAGGCCAGCAUCAGUUUGGGCGGUGGGAUAAAGGUCUCUGUCACGUACCUCUCUUCGGGGAGGCCUUAUAGGGGAGACGACAUACCACCAGCCUAGACUGAGGUCCGCGCAUCUGCUAGGAUGCUGGCGUAAUGGCUGUAAGCGGCCCGUCUUGAAACACGGACCAAGGAGUCUAACAUCUAUGCGAGUGUUUGGGUGUCAAGCCCGAGCGCGUAAUGAAAGUGAACGGAGGUGGGAACCCGCAAGGGUGCACCAUCGACCGAUCCUGAAGUUUACGGAAGGAUUUGAGUAAGAGCAUGGCUGUUGGGACCCGAAAGAUGGUGAACUAUGCUUGAAUAGGGUGAAGCCAGAGGAAACUCUGGUGGAGGCUCGCAGCGGUUCUGACGUGCAAAUCGAUCGUCAAAUUUGGGCAUAGGGGCGAAAGACUAAUCGAA